UUUUAACGUGUUUAAAAUCUAUUAUAUUCUAAACUAUAAUAUAUCAUUCAUAUGAUAUUGCAAUUAAAAACGUCAGUAGGGUCGAACAAUUAAGAGGAGUUUGUUCCUUUCAGAAUGACAUCUCUGGGUACGUGGGUGCCGUUAAAUGAUUUCAGAUGCCCAAGUAAAGGAUGCCCAUCAAGCGGAGGCAAAUCAUGGGUCUGUAAGAAGGACAACACUACAGUUUAUAUCAAUGCCCUCGGAAAAAUGGAAUGUGAGGACGGCUCACACACUGGAAAUAUAUGCACGUGGGGUUGGAAUUGCAGCGAAAGCUAUCACCAAGGACAGACCUUUCAAGCGGAUUUGGAAGGGUUUACCUUCGCAAUGUCCCAAGCCGUUCAACUGAUGAACAAAAUGGGGGCAACCUGGUGUGCGGCCCUCAUGACAUAAUUAGGGAAACAGUAUAGCAAACCAUGAUCGAAGUUCUACAAACACGUUAAUGCAGAGAAACACCAGUGCAACUACUUACAACUACAUUUACACAUGUGCAACAUAAUUUACAACAUACACUUAUCAUUUUCACUUGAAGGAAAACAAAAUCUUUAAUUAUUUGUAUAAAUAUUGUCGUCAUAUAUUUUUUAUUAUAUUUUUAAACUGUGAAAAGUUAUACGUUAAUACUUCGUCUUAUCCACUAAACUAUUACAUUAAUAGGAUUGAUAUGGGAAGCCUUCGCAAAUGACAGUAUUUGUAAGUAGAUACCAUAUUUUUAACGCCAUAAUUCAUUGUUAAAUAAAUUACAUGUAUUGUUUGUUGAUAUAAGAUACUUUUUUUCAGAUUUCGUUGUCUGCUUUGUUAUAGGGAUUGCUUUAACCACACUGUAUUACUCUUUUCAUUCAAUUAGGUCUUGUCUUAUUCAUUCACCAGACUCUAACGUUGUAUUUUAUGUUCUAUUCGCGUGUUAUGUUGUAUUUGUUUUUCUUAUCUGAUUUCAUCAAUUAUUGUUCUGUGUGAUAUGCGUUAUUUAGCAGAUGCACGUAUCAUGAUAGUUUUAAAAUAGCAUAAUAGGCAUUCAUUUUUUCAUGAAAUAGAUAAGUUAAAAUAGUGAAAAUUUCAACUGUUUUUGCGUUUCAAUUUAUAAACAAUGUAUAUUAUCAAUCGCUUCACAUUCCUUAAACUUAUUAUGUACUGCUUUGUGUUGUUUUGUAUUAGUUACAUGAACAUAAGUGUAGCCCUUUUUUGAAAAAAUAUUCCGGGCUAGACAUUUAUUUUUCAAAUGAUUUCAUUUUCUCUGGCAUUUAGUUGUUCAAUUACUGUCUCAACGCAAAAAAGUAACUUGACUAUACAAAUAGUAUAAUAGGUCUUCUAUACGCGCGAGGUCCUACAUUAAAUUAUAAUGCUUGUUUACUCUAUAUUUUAUAACGCUCAGAACUUUGUCAUUUUAUAUUUAUUCUACAUGUAUAUAUCAAUAAAGUCUGAAGU